AAAAUUAUAAACGUUGAGGCCAAUCUUCGAUAAUUUCACGGAGUCGGCUAUCUUAUUUUAUUAUACAUCUUUUUGAGUGCAAUAGGUACCUUGUCUACAAUAGGAGUUUUAGAUUAUAGCCAAACAAAUAUACAAUAUUUCUAUGAAUUGAUUAAUCAUACAUGUUCGACAAUACUAUUUGCGGUAAAUCUUAAAGGAAACACGAUCCAUGAAAUAUUUUCAAUAGAAGGCGUAAAGAGUUUUAUAUUGGUGAUAGAUUUCAUUAUUUUUAAGGAAUUGACAAAGUGAUAUGUUUUUUUUUUUGUUUUAUGUUACAACGGGUGUUUAUGUUGGUU